rnacentral:rRNA from 1 species
AACGAACGCUGGCGGCAUGCCUAACACAUGCAAGUCGAACGAGACCUUCGGGUCUAGUGGCGCACGGGUGCGUAACGCGUGGGAACCUGCCCUUAGGUUCGGAAUAACUCCCCGAAAGGGGUGCUAAUACCGGAUAAUGUCUUCGGACCAAAGAUUUAUCGCCUUUGGAUGGGCCCGCGUUGGAUUAGCUAGUUGGUAGGGUAAAAGCCUACCAAGGCGACGAUCCAUAGCUGGUCUGAGAGGAUGAUCAGCCACACUGGGACUGAGACACGGCCCAGACUCAUGCGGGGGGCGGAAGGGGGAAAUAGGAGAGAAGGGGGAAAGGUGUACCCCAGCAGUCCGGGGGAAGUAAUGAGGCCGGAAGGUUUGAAAUGCUUUUUACCCGGGAAUUAUUAGGAGGGCCCGGGGAGAAAACGACCGGUAAACCCCUG